UUCCUAAUUCCAAUGGUUCCAGGAGAUCAUAUAAGUGUCCGGUUACCUCUGAGACUCAAGGAUUUGGAUAUUUGUCAAAGUUUACAAUUGUGAAAAAUGCCAAGCAUAACCUGCUUACGAUUGUGGGCUAUUACCACAAUCAUAUGUCUUCUGAUAUUCUCUUUCCGGCAAUCUGAGAUUUUUUUUCUUUUUUAGGUAAGGUCAAAACUCCAUUGAGAAUUGUAUGAACACAUAAUACAAAGAUCGAGCAGGACAAUACGACCAGCGUCUGCUAAAUGGACAAUUUUGGAAAUUUCUGUGUCCAUGUGUUGCGAUUCACAUUCAUUGCCUACAUAUGAAGUUAUGAGCAAUAACAGAAACAUUUAUAAUCCAGAAACAAGCGGCCAACCACGGUGCCAAACAACAUCAACUGAAAUUUUUCAUAGUCUCCUAUAGCAACGAUGAGAUGAAAACCAACCUCGAGGCCCUGGCAAUAUGGCAACAUCGCCUUGGCGUCAUUCUCGCCGGGCGAGGGCGACGGGGUCCUGACCGAUGGCGACCGGAUCGAUCCAGAUCGGGGCCUUGGUGACCGGCGGCGGUGGCCCUGUCAUCUCCUGUAUGUGAGAUUCGGAGGGGAAAGCAGGGGGAAGCAAGAUGAUAGAGAGAGAGGAAGAAGGCGCUGGGCAUGAGGUCCAUGGGAGGAGCUUCUCUCCCUGGAUCCAUGAGGAGAGCUUGGAGGGUCAGGCGCUCGAGCCCCCUGAAGCUGCUGCGCGGGGGCUAUCCCGCUCACAAACCAGAGGGGAUUGAGAGAGAGAGGAGUUGGAGGAAGAUGGAUGAAGGAAAAGAAAAGGGCAGCGAGGAGGGUCUCACCAGCGAGCUGCAAGGGGGUCUGGCGGCGCUGCAACUGCUCCGGGCCCCAAGCCGACCCCAUCCCCGCCGUUCCCGUGCUACCAGCCUCACCCGCAAGAAGCAUGGCCGACCCCGAGCUCCUGCUCGACCCCGCGCUUGUCUCCUCGUCG
rnacentral:lncRNA from 1 species